GGACUUUUCGGAGUUCAGUGGCGGACGGGUGAGUAACGCGUGAGAAUCUGGCUUCAGGUUCGGGACAACCACUGGAAACGGUGGCUAACACCGGAUGUGCCGAGAGGUAAAAAAUUAAUUGCCUGAAGAUGAGCUCGCGUCUGAUUAGCUAGUUGGUAGGGUAAGAGCCUACCAAGGCGUCGAUCAGUAACUGGUCUGAGAGGAUGACCAGUCACACUGGGACUGAGACACGGCCCAGACUCCUACGGGAGGCAGCAGUGGGGAAUUUUCCGCAAUGGGCGAAAGCCUGACGGAGCAAUACCGCGUGAGGGAGGAAGGCUCUUGGGUUGUAAACCUCUUUUCUCAGGGAAGA
rnacentral:rRNA from 1 species